CAUCUCUCAGGGUCGCACCCGGAGAGCUUCCAGUCCUCUACCAGUCUCGACUACCUGAGGGAGAGUCAAGCAGAGGCCUACCCAUUCCACUCCUAGCUUGAGCAGUAGCUAGAGAGUGGAAAGCAAUCCGCUACAAGU